rnacentral:rRNA from 1 species
UACGUAGGGUGCGAGCGUUAAUCGGAAUUACUGGGCGUAAAGCGUGCGUAGGCGGUUCGUUAAGUUCGUUGUGAAAGCCCCGGGCUCAACCUGGGAACUGCAAUGGAAACUGGCGGGCUUGAGUGUGGCAGAGGGGGGUGGAAUUCCGCGUGUAGCAGUGAAAUGCGUAGAGAUGCGGAGGGACACCGAUGGCGAAGGCAGCCCCCUGGGCCAACACUGACGCUCAGGCACGAAAGCGUGGGGAGCAAACAGG